CGUUUUAGAAACAUUCAGGGGCCAACAGUUUCAGGAUUGUUGAGCUCCAUUGGCGGGAUUUCGCCGUCUUCGUUUCUCUUUCUUCGCGGACGAACACGCGCCAGGGGCUGAGCGCUGUGCGAUGCAUCGACGUCACGUCAGGUGCGCGCCGGCAUGUCUCUCGUGUUAGGGGCUUGUAGCUCAGUUGGUUAGAGCGCGCGCUUGAUAAGCGUGAGGUCGGAAGUUCAAGUCUUCCCAGGCCCACCACGCUUCGCCGUCGGCUACGCGUGGCGCAGCCACGUAGGAGACGAAGCGAAGCGUGCCCGGCAUAGCCCGAAGGGCGACGACGGGCGCAACGAGAGCAUUCGUCUUCUGGUACGGGGCCAUAGCUCAGCUGGGAGAGCGCGUGCUUUGCAAGCAUGAGGUCGUCGGUUCGAUCCCGUCUGGCUCCACCAGAUGGAAUUGAAGCUCGAGAAUGCGCCUUGUGCAGCUAGCUCUGUUCAUUUCGUCCGCGAAACAUCACUUCGCACUCAUUGGUCCGGAUGGACGGUGACGUGCGUGUUUUCUGACAUCGUAAAGAGGAGAUCGAUCCGAGUUUGGAUCCAGCGAAGCAAUUCGCGGGUACCAUUCCUAAUCUCCAGAUCGUUUUCGGCGCUCGCGCAUCGCAGCUCAUCGCAAGAUGAGUGAGGUGAGCGAGUUGUAAAACGAUCUUUGUAGCGAAGCUUGACCGCCUCGCUAUCGGGCCGAUCUUACGAAGCAAGCUGGUCUUUCUAGUCAAUGUCCGGCUGUGCGAUCGCGUUCAUCGAGGACGCGUGCCUUUAAUGGCAGUUGCGCAGACAACAUUCUGCCGAGUGUGUGGACAUUGAUAAUGAGAGCAAUCAAGUGCCUUAAGGGUGUUCGGUGGAUGCCUUGGCGCUGAGAGGCGAUGAAGGACGUGCUACGCUGCGAUAAGCCGUGGGGAGCUGCG
rnacentral:misc_RNA from 1 species